rnacentral:rRNA from 1 species
GUGUCAGCAGCCGCGGUAAUACAGAGGGUGCAAGCGUUGUUCGGAAUUAUUGGGCGUAAAGGGAGUGUAGGCGGUUGGGAAAGUCUUCUGUGAAAUCUACGGGCUCAGCCUGUAACGUGCAGAGGAAACUACUCGGCUUGAGUGUCGGAGAGGAUAGGGGAAUACCCGGUGUAGAGGUGAAAUUCGUAGAGAUCGGGUGGAACACCAGUGGCGAAGGCGCCUGUCUGGCUGACAACUGACGCUGAGACUCGAAAGCAUGGGGAGCAAACAGGAUUAGAUACCCUAGUAGUCC